GAUGAACGCUGGCGGCGUGCCUAAUACAUGCAAGUCGAGCGAACAGACGAGGAGCUUUCUCCUCUGACGUUAGCGGCGGACGGGUGAGUAACACGUGGAUAACCUACCUAUAAGACUGGGAUAACUUCGGGAAACCGGAGCUAAUACCGGAUAAUAUAUUGAACCGCAUGGUUCAAUAGUGAAAGACGGUUUUGCUGUCACUUAUAGAUGGAUCCGCUCCGCAUUAGCUAGUUGGUAAGGUAACGGCUUACCAAGGCAACGAUGCGUAGCCGACCUGAGAGGGUGAUCGGCCACACUGGAACUGAGACACGGUCCAGACUCCUACGGGAGGCAGCAGUAGGGAAUCUUCCGCAAUGGGCGAAAGCCUGACGGAGCCACGCCGCGUGAGUGAUGAAGGUCUUCGGAUCGUAAAACUCUGUUAUUAGGGAAGAACAAAUGUGUAAGUAACUAUGCACGUAUUGACGGUACCUAAUCAGAAAGCCACGGCUAACUACGUG
rnacentral:rRNA from 1 species